rnacentral:rRNA from 1 species
GAGAAACGCUGGCGGCGUGCUUAACACAUGCAAGUCGAACGGAAAGGCCCUGCUUUUGUGGGGUGCUCGAGUGGCGAACGGGUGAGUAACACGUGAGUAACCUGCCCUUGACUUUGGGAUAACUUCAGGAAACUGGGGCUAAUACCGGAUAGGAGCUCCUGCUGCAUGGUGGGGGUUGGAAAGUUUCGGCGGUUGGGGAUGGACUCGCGGCUUAUCAGCUUGUUGGUGGGGUAGUGGCUUACCAAGGCUUUGACGGGUAGCCGGCCUGAGAGGGUGACCGGCCACAUUGGGACUGAGAUACGGCCCAGACUCCUACGGGAGGCAGCAGUGGGGAAUAUUGCACAAUGGGCGGAAGCCUGAUGCAGCAACGCCGCGUGCGGGAUGACGGCCUUCGGGUUGUAAACCGCUUUCGCCUGUGACGAAGCGUGAGUGACGGUAAUGGGUAAAGAAGCACCGGCUAACUACGUG